CUAUCAGAAGAUCUAAGACAACUGAAGAAUCGUGACAAAUAUAAAGUAAAAAGUAAUCUGUUGGAUCAAAAUUGAACUUACAUAGAUAAAGGUGAUCCCAAUCUUGUAUCUUUCAAGGAAACGGACAACAAACGGAAUGUCAGCGCUAUUAAAGAUGGUGUUCGAUUGGUUAACGGAGAAUCUUGGAAGGAGGGGCGUGUUGAAAUCUACAAGGAUGGAUGCUGGGGCACGAUAUGUGAACAGAAUUGGGACACCAGAGACGCUAGUGUUGUGUGAAAAACGAUGGGAUUAUCUUACGGGAUUCCGGUUGUAUCUGGACGUUUUGGAU